CCUACGGGUGGCAGCAGUGAGGAAUCUUGGUCAAUGGACGAGAGUCUGAACCAGCCACGUAGCGUGAAGGAUGACUGCCCUAUGGGUUGUAAACUUCUUUUAUAUGGGAAUAAAAUGUUCCACGUGUGGGAUUUUGUAUGUACCCUAUGAAUAAGGAUCGGCUAACUCCGUGCCAGCAGCCGCGGUAAUACGGAGGCUCCGAGCGUUAUCCGGAUUUAUUGGGUUUAAAGGGAGCGUAGGUGGAUUGUUAAGUCAGUUGUGAAAGUUUGCGGCUCAACCGUAAAAUUGCAGUUGAAACUGGCAGUCUUGAGUACAGUAGAGGUGGGCGGAAUUCGUGGUGUAGCGGUGAAAUGCUUAGAUAUCACGAAGAACUCUGAUUGCGAAGGCAGUUCACUGGACUGCAACUGACACUGAGGCUCGAAAGUGUGGGUAUCAAACAGGAUUAGAUACCCGAGUAGUC
rnacentral:rRNA from 1 species